UACGUAGGGGGCGAGCGUUGUCCGAAGUUACUGGGCGUAAAGCGCGCGUAGGCGGUCAUUUAAGUCUGAGGUGAAAGGUUCAGCGCUCAACGUGAACAGUGCCUUGGAUACUGGGUGACUUGAGUUCGGGAGGGGGCUGUGGAAUUCCAGGUGUAGCGGUGAAAUGCGCAGAGAUCAGGAAGAACACCGGUGGCGAAGGCGCUCUGCUGGACCUUAACUGACACUGAGGGACGAAAGCUAGGGGAGCGAAUGGG
rnacentral:rRNA from 1 species